rnacentral:rRNA from 1 species
CAGCGUCGAUGCUCUCACCAUGCACAGCGUAGAUAACCGGGGACCAGGACAAAAUACAGGGUACCGGGCUGCGAUCACCUCCUUAAGCUUGGAUCCCGGGUCUGCCUGGUAGUGGGGGAUAACGUCCGGAAACGGACGCUAAUACCGCAUACGUCCUACGGGAGAAAGCAGGGGACCUUCGGGCCUUGCGCUAUCAGAUGAGCCUAGGUCGGAUUAGCUAGUUGGUGGGGUAAUGGCUCACCAAGGCGACGAUCCGUAACUGGUCUGAGAGGAUGAUCAGUCACACUGGAACUGAGACACGGUCCAGACUCCUACUGGAGGCAGCAGUGGGGAAUAUUGGACAAUGGGCGAAAGCCUGAUCCAGCCAUGCCGCGUGUGUGAAGAAGGUCUUCGGAUUGUA